rnacentral:rRNA from 1 species
UACCAUUUGGAACAGAUGCUAAUACCGAUAAAAGCUACUUUCGCAUGAAAGAAGUUUUAAAAGGCGGCGUAAAGCUGUCGCUAAAGGAUGGACCUGCGAUGCAUUAGCUAGUUGGUAAGGGUAACGGGCUUACCAAGGCGAUGAUGCAUAGCCCGAGUUGAGAGACUGAUCGGGCCACAUUGGGACUGAGACACGGGCCCAAACUCCUACGGGAGGCAGCAGUAGGGGAAUCUUCCACAAUGGACGAAAGUCUGAUGGAGCAAACGCCGCGUGAGUGAAGAAGGUUUUCGGAUCGUAAAAAGCUCUGUUGUUGGUGAAGAAGGAUAGAGGUAGUAACUGGCCCUUUAUUUGACGGUAAUCAACCCAGAAAGUCACGGGCUAACUACGUGCCCAGCAGCCGCGGUAAAU